rnacentral:rRNA from 1 species
UACGUAGGGACCAAGCGUUGUUCGGAUUUACUGGGCGUAAAGGGCGCGUAGGCGGCAAUUCAAGUCAUCUGUGAAAUCUCCGGGCUUAACUCGGAACGGUCAGAUGAUACUGCUUUGCUCGAGUGCGGAAGGGGCAAUCGGAAUUCUUGGUGUAGCGGUGAAAUGCGUAGAUAUCAAGAGGAACACCUGAGGUGAAUACGGGUUGCUGGGCCGACACUGACGCUGAAGCGCGAAAGCCAGGGGAGCAAACGGG